UCAAAUUGAAGCUAUUGAAAAACGCUAUUUGGUGUAGAAAUUUCAAGACUUUAGCUAAAAGGGAAAUAUUGAAAAACUACAAACAUAAUUACCGAUAAUUUGCCGUUUUGCAGUUGUUUUUGUAUUUUUUAAAUAUUUCUCUUUUCGCUGAAGUCUUGAAAUUUCCACACCGAAUAGCAAUUUUUAAUAGCUUCAAUUUGAUAUAAAGCACGACGUUUGGGGUCAAGUAUUUCUGCUCAUAACUCAGAAAAACUAUUUUGGCUUCAUCAAAUCAUAGGCCUUCAUCAUAGCAGUUAGCCUUCCAGUUUAUUUAUAGUUCAAUGGUUGUAUCCAAGGCUUCUAAACCGCAUAUUACGACGAGGUGGUGUCCCUGUGGAGGACUUAUUGAGUAUAUACUUUGCCUUAAUAUGAUCGGUUCUGGAGUACUGCUGUGUGGUAUGGCAUCAUGCCGUACCUUUGUAGCUCGCCGAUGAGUUAGAGCGAGUGCAAAAACGAGCGCUGAGGAUUAUUUUACCGGGUUACUCUUACAGGGAAGCAUUAGCACAACUUGGGUGUUCCAGAUUGGAUGAAAGGCGAGAACAACAUUGCCUCAACACUAUGAAACGC